CCUUGCGUGGGAUUCCAUUUGUGUUGUGGUGUAUUGCGCAUUAUUGGGAUAGCUUGUUGCCUUGUGUUAUCUUGUUGCCGUGUGGUUGCUUGUUGCUUGUAUUGCGUAAGGUUGUUGCUUGGGAUAUUGAGGUUCAGCCAUUGUUUAAGUUUGGGUUAUAAACUUUAUUGCCGUGGGGCACUCUUGGGGUUGAGUGAUUGUUGGUUACUUGGGUAGCUUGUGGUUGCCGUGAACAUUAUUGUUG
rnacentral:misc_RNA from 1 species